CGUUGCGGUAGGGCGGAAGGGGGACACCUUCGGGUGUGCUGGUUCUGUAUGUCCGGUCUGUCAACCCUCUUUCGUUCUACCACCCUA
rnacentral:antisense_RNA from 1 species